rnacentral:lncRNA from 1 species
AUGAGUAAGGGCCCUGGACUUCAUACUGUCAGGAAGCUCUGUAGUCACUGAUGAGACAAGAAAUGUCAUAAACAGUACAGGGAAGUUUAUUUGGGCACAGCCCUGAAGGCCAACAGUUUUAAAGGUGCUUCAAAUGCAAAGGGGAUUAUGCUGGAAAAAGUAGAAGUUGAAGCCAAACAACCAAACUCUGCCUUCCGGAAGUGUUUCAGGGUCCAGCUGAUCAAGAACAGCAAGAAAAUCACAUCUGUUGUAACCCAAUGAUGGUUGCUUGAACAUUAUUGAGGAAAACAAUUAGGUUCUGGUUAGGGAAUUUGAUUGAAAAGAUCAUGCUAUUAUUGAUAUUCCUGGAAUCCACUUUAAGGUUGUCAAAGUAGCCAAUGUCUCUGUUUUGGUCCUAAACAAAGGCAACAAAGAAAGACUACGAUAAUGA